UACGGAGGGUGCAAGCGUUAUCCGGAUUCACUGGGUUUAAAGGGUGCGUAGGCGGGCUUGUAAGUCAGUGGUGAAAGCCCGGAGCUUAACUCCGGAAUUGCCGUUGAUACUGCAAGUCUUGAGUACAGUUGAGGUGGGCGGAAUACAUCAUGUAGUAGUGAAAUACUUAGAUAUGAUGUAGAACACCGAUUGCGAAGGCAGCUCACUAGAGUGUAACUGACGCUGAGGCACGAAAGCGUGGGGAUCAAACAGG
rnacentral:rRNA from 1 species